CCCUGGGUGGUUUAAAUGGUUAAGCAUUUGGCUACUAACCAAAAGGUUGGCAGUUCAAAUUCACCCAGAGG
rnacentral:tRNA from 1 species